rnacentral:rRNA from 1 species
UACGUAGGGGGCGAGCGUUGUCCGGAUUUAUUGGGCGUAAAGCGCGUGUAGGCGGUCCGGUAAGUCCGCUGUGAAAGCCAGGGGCUCAACCCUUGGAUGCCGGUGGAUACUGUCGGGCUUGAGUACGGAAGAGGCGAGUGGAAUUCCUGGUGUAGCGGUGAAAUGCGCAGAUAUCAGGAGGAACACCAAUUGCGAAGGCAGCUCGCUGGGACGUUACUGACGCUGAGACGCGAAAGCGUGGGGAGCAAACAGG